rnacentral:lncRNA from 1 species
UGGCACUGAUUUCUCUCGCGCUUCUCACAGCUUCCAUCGCCUUAUACGCCGCUCGAUAGGAUUAAUGUCCCUUUCGACUGGAUGGGAAGGCCUGUAACCCAAGUAAGCUCUUCUCUAAAACUUUGCAUUGAUAUACCUGUUGUGAUUUGUUUGCCAUUGUUACUGUAAGUGACUCAGAAACAAAAAAGAGAAGAAAAAAUGCACCUUGAUCUUAUCACUUUUUUGCUGGCUUCUAGAUGGGAACAAAAGUUCAACAUUGUUGGAACAAUCUUUGGUAUGACUAGAGCCCUCCCUUUGCGUUUCUCAGUUGCGCGGCUCCUUCACUCUUCCGGCUAACAAACAUACUAUUCGAGCAUGCCGUGUGCGCGGUACCACAUUUGGACGGGGCAUAUCACGUGUUCCUCUGGACUGUCCAUGCUUGGUUUAUAUCCUCUACUGGACAAUGGCAAACAAAUCACAAGAGGUAUAUCAAUUUUUACAGAAAAGAGCUUACUUUGGUUUCUCUCUUUCAGCUUGUAAGGUGGCACAAGAUCGACAUAAGUGGUUUGACUGGAUUGUUUACUUGGAUCGUCGGCCUUCUGAUUUGGGGACUUCUCUAGCUCCAUUCCGGAAGCACAGAUUCGAGCUCUUUUACUACACACACCAGCUUUACUUUGUCUUCAUCAUUGGCUUUGCUCUUCACCUCGGGAGGAAUGGCUCGCCAUCAUCAUCGCCGGAGUGUUUCUUUUCUCAUCGAUAGAGUCUUCCGGUGCCUGCAAUCGAUGAGGCACGUUGAGGUGGUCUCGGCAAAAGUCAUCUCUCCAGAAACUCUGGGGCUCACUCUCGCUAAAGUUCCUGGUGAGAAGCACAUACAUUUUUCUGUUCUUCGCUGUUAACUUAUGACUUACUUGGAGAGAUUUGAAGAGCCCGGCCGCAAGUGUGAUCUUUCUCAACUUGCGCCAUCUCGAGAUUGCAGACAUCCUUUCACUGUUACAUCGUGCUCAACUUUGGACGUGGAUCGAAUUACUAUUCUCGUGAAAUGCCGUGGAAGCUGGACCUGCUGCUCGAUCAGGAGCGUCUUCACGAGAACAGCUAUCCCGCACCCUUUGAAGCAGCAGUUGAAGGCCUCAUGGUCACGAGCUUGAUGUAAGUAUUUCGGCUCAAAAUGCAUUAAAACUCUACCUUUGUGCUGAAGAUGUCCAGCUUUGAUCUUCGUGGCCGGAGGAAGUGGAGUCGGACCAUUCAUCGCUCAGGCUUGCACCAAAGAAAAUCGUUUCCAUUCUGGCAGUCAAGUUUUCCUAGGAGCUCCAGAUUCUACAUUCCAUCUCACCUCUUCCAUCGCUCCCGUCCGCUGCAGAUUUCUUGAAACUUCAUGCUUAUGUCACUCGUGAAAGCGAAAGUGAUCUUGAAUCCCCCGUCAAGUUGAGUCUGGAAAUCCAAACGCGAAGAAAGUUCUGCAGCAACAAUCCUGGCAUCUUUCGCAGGAUACAUGCUCAUCGCGGGACUGGUGUACACAUCUAUCCAAUGGACCACAAUACGUACCAAGUUUGCUCGAGAUCGGGUAGAGGAUUUGCGCCGCUUCUCGAGUACGUGGUCGCCAUUUGUGCCUUUGAUGGUGGAACUAUCCUCCUGUGGAACUGGUCCAAGUCGACUCUAAUCUUGUAGACGUGCCAGUGAUAGACCCAAGCUCGACGAAAAUAAGACCAAGCAACGUGGUUUAUGGAAGACGCCCGGAUUUCCAACUCCUCAAGAAAGGAGAAAUUCGAUUUGUGAUCUAAGUUGCGUGUUUUUGUCACAGCGAUCUGCGCUGAGCACACAAGCAAAAACAAGGAAUGCAUAGUUGUGAC